ACUGCCUACGGGACGCAGCAGUGGGGGAUAUUGCACAAUGGGGGGAACCCUGAUGCAGCGACGCCGCGUGGGUGAAGAAGCGCCUCGGCGCGUAAAGCCCUGUCAGCAGGGAAGAAAAUGACGGUACCUGAAGAAGAAGCCCCGGCUAACUACGUGCCAGCAGCCGCGGUAAUACGUAGGGGGCAAGCGUUAUCCGGAUUUACUGGGUGUAAAGGGGGCGCAGACGGCGAUGCAAGCCAGGAGUGAAAGCCCGGGGCUCAACCGCGGAACUGCAUUUGAAACUGUUUUUCUUGAGUACCGGAGAG
rnacentral:rRNA from 1 species